GGUACGCGUCGAGGCGCGCUGCAGGUACGCGUCGAGGCGCGCUUCAGGUACGCGUCGAGGCGCGCUUCAGGUACGCGUCGAGGCGCGCUUCAGGUACGCGUCGAGGCGCGCUUCAGGUACGCGUCGAGGCGCGCUGCAGGUACGCGUCGAGCCCAAAAGGCAUACGAGUCAGACUUCAAGACAUGGAAGAGGCGCGCCUCCGGUGCGCUUUUCAGACCUGGAGGGUGGACGCGUAAGUUUUGAUGUAGUUGAACAAAAGAUGAAAUGGAUGCAAGUUUCAGAAAAGAAUCCAAACCCUUUCCAAGUCCCAACUCUUUUUCUCUCGUGGACGCCCCUCGCUCUUCUCUGCUUUCCCGUGGUUGCAGUGCAGGUUCUGCUCUCUCCUUUCUCUCCUCAUUUCGUUUUCAUUCUCUCUCUCUCUCUCUCUCUCUCUUCCUCUAUUUAUUUUUUUCCCUUUUAUGAAUUACAACAUAAAUGUCACUUAUUUUUAAUCCCGCAUUAUUGUGAUUUAUUGGCAAAAUAAAAGGAAAAAUUACUUAGUUAUGUAUGAUUUCCAUAUUUUACAAAUUUUUUUUUGUUUGCAAUUCAUGUGUUCAAAUUACAAAAAAAAAAAAAAUGUAAUUAAAUUAUUGUUCUUUUUAUAUAUAACAAAAAAUAAUGCAAUUCCAUCAUUAUCCUUUUUCUCAAGUAAUAAAAAAGUAUACAAUUUAAAUAUUAAUUUAAGUGAAAAAAUACAUUAUUUAGGUGAAUUUUUUUAUAAAUUUUUUUUUUUUAAAAUAUAUAUAAAAUGUAAGAGCACAUACCUUGUUUAUUUGAAAAUUUUCAAGUUCAAUUUUUUAAAAUUUUAAGAUUUUAAAAAGAGUUUUUAAGAUACAAAGUAAAUUUUGUAUUUUUUAUAAGAGCUCUUAUAUUUUGUUCGAGGUUUUUAAUUUUAAAAAUAAAAUAGAAAGUAUAUUUAAAUGUCACCUUAGUUAUUCUUAAUUAUUUUGAUUUAUUAUGAAGUUUAUUAUUUUUUAUUUGUUAUUUUGUAUAUGUUAUAAAUUAUUUUUUAUAUUUACUAGUUAUGAAAAUUAAAUUAUCAAAAGCUUCGGAAUGUCAUCCUAGGACACUAAAAUGCCUAUUCUAGGCUUUUAACUUCAAAAAAAUGUAAGGUAGAAAGGGUUGACAUCCUAUCAAAUAUGAAACAUGUUUAGGAAUGAUUCUAAUUAAAACCCUUUUAGUCCAUGACAUUUUUUGUUAAUAGUGUUUUCAUUAAAAAGGCAUUUAAGGAAAAUUACUUAGUGUUUGUGUUAGUGUUCAAACUCUUGAAGUUGGGUUUGCUACUAAUAUGACCUAACAAUGCAAGUAGUGAUUGAUUAACUUAUGCAUAUAAUCUCUUUAUGAAUUAAUAUCCGUAAUCUAACAAGGUGAAAGAUGACAAUUUCUCAAGAUUACUUUUAUCAUCCUUGAGUUCCAAAUCCUCCUAUAAUAUAAUUAAUUAACAUAUCUUAACUCACAAAGAGCUUAUAUCAAAUUUCACUAAAGAAACCAUUAUGGUCAUAGUUUACUUAAACACAUCUCUGUAGGAUUGCCCAAGGGGACAUAAUGUCUUAAUUUCAUGAUAUAUCAUAAUGCUCAUAUUGAAAAUACAUAUUGCUAUCAAAUUUCAUCAACAGUGAUCCAAUUUAUAGGGAAUAUAUAAUUACUUUAGGAUUUCACUCGUACAUCAAAGUCAUUGCUAACUUUGUUACAAACUUAAUAUUCUCUCAAGGUUCAUAGUAGUUUAAUAAAGUCAUAACUACUCGAUAGCCUUACGUCAUGAUUCAACAUAAGUUUUCUCUAAUGUGUAACCGAACACACUAGUGUAUUUACUAUAGGAACCUCAUCCUAGUGGGUAAAACCAGUUAUCUCUUUAAUUAGGAGGUAAUGCAUUACAACCUAUAAUGAAUUGUCUAAGUCCAUGAAUUGACCUAUAAAUAAAUCAUCUAUUUGUAAAGAACUUAUGACUUGAAUUUUCCCGUACAACUUUUAAUAUAUCCAAGUCAUGCAAAAUACAAGAAAUAUAAGUCAAAAUACUCAUAAGAUAAAAUGUAUGAAAUAAGAAUAGAUUAAAAUGCAACUGAAACUUUAUUAAAUAAAUUAUAAACUUUAAAUUUGUUGUAUCAUAUCAUACUUUUCAGGACUCUUAAUAGAUGUAUUAUUAUUCAUAUACUUCAAAAACAAUAUCAUAAUUUAUUUUAUUGUCUACGUUGAUCAUGACCUUAUCAAUACUAGUAACCACUUAAGCUUUACUUCUCAUUUCAUUGCAAGCCUCUCAUUAUAGUUCUUCGUGAAGGAUCUUAGAGAUCUACAUGACUUCCUCGAUCUUAAGGUUGUCCCUACUACCAAAUGGAAUGUUUCUACCUCUACAUAAAUACAUUUGGGACCUCCUACAACCUCACCAUAUAUCAUAAGCCAAAGUAGUGAACAUUCCAUUAUCAACCUUAACACCUUUGGUUCACUAUGAUGGUAGUACUCUUUCCUAUAACCCAACGCAAUCUUGACAAGUGGUUAGAACCGAACCCUCUAAUCUUCAGCCGCGCAAAUGGCAUCUUCUUUGUUGUAAACAAGUCAUCUUAAGUCAUGCAUUAACCAACUCAUACGCAUUGUUCAAUUGCCACCUACCUACCUAUGUACCAAUCCAAUUUUUUACUCUCGUGUAUAAAACACGUUGCUAUUGAUUUUCAUUUUGUUCACGAUAAGGUUUUUGUCGGCCAACAUUGUGCGUCUCAUGUUUCCACUCAAGACCAACUUGUUGACGCUCUCACCAAAUCAUUAUUCCAUCAAUGACUUCUUUUAUUCCUUUCCAAGAUGGGUGUUUCCAAUGGAAGUGAAAUAUUGGGAACGAAUUAACAACUUUCUCCCAACCUCGUGGAUUCCAGCUCAUGAUCCACUCAUUCACAUGAAAUGAAAUCUCUUAACUUCAACUGCUCUCAAUAAUUCGCAAUUAAGCAUAUUGCAAUAUUCUCAUUUGUGUAUAUAUAUUAUUGUAAAACAUACAACAAUUUAUUCAAUUCAUUCCUUUUUCAGCAAACUUGCUUGACCCUAUUAAUGCCAUCUUACAUCCACUGUCAUUCCAUUCAUGAAAGCAGACCUUAAAAAAACCCUCGCUCAUAAAACAUCACUCCAAAAAAAAUCAGUUUUUUUUGCCAAAUUUACAACAAGAAUAUUUGUUUAUUUGGCAAGGAGAGGGACUGGACUGGAGAGCAAAAUCAGCCUGAAGUCACGGGUCAUGAAAUGGGAUUCCUGGCCUGAAAAAGGCAUGUGAAGCCAGUCCAAAUUCCGAGUAGAAAAAAGGUCUCCAGUGAGGGUGGGGACAUGGAGGCUGGAAAUUGUAAUAAUCCCAAGAGUAGUCUUGCGCCCUUGUCCAAAUGAGAACAUCACGAGAGAGAUUGAAAAUGGUGUCUCCAGCGUCUGUUUCUAGCACCGGCUUUGAAAAAGCAAUGUGAACGUAAUCAACUCAAAUAAAGAAUUGCCAAGAUUUUCCAUUGAAAAGCCCACCAUUCAUUCAUUCAUACAUUUUCUGCAACUUUUUUGUCUUCAUAUAAAACCUUCAUCAUCACCCAUCUCCAUUCACAAAACCAAGACGAGGGCUCGGGUUUCUUCUGAUGGAUCACCUGGGAUCAUUAACAAUUAGAAAAAUACUUGUCCCGAGUGUAAAAUGCCGGUCGGAAUGCCGCAAAGUUAAUGAGAAAAUGUUCAGUCUCGUUACCUUCAUAAAAAAAUAUUGAUUUUAUAAAUGUUUGAUAAGUUGAUUCCAAAAAAACACUUUUUAAAUAAUAAAAAAUUGGAUGAAUAAAUUUUAGUUGUUUUUUAAAAAUAAUUCUUGGAUUUUUAUUUUAUAAAAAUUGUGUAAAUUUAAUUUAUAUAAUCUUAAUUAAAUUAAUUGAAAUCUUAUUAAAAAUAAAAAUAAUUAUAAAUUUCUUAGUAAAAUAUGAAU
rnacentral:lncRNA from 1 species